UGCUGCUAGCUUGUGUGCUGCAAUGGUACCUGCUGAAGUAAUUGCUGAGUGAUAUGGAAAAGUAUCCUACCACGAUGGAACAAACAAGUGCUGCAUUAGGGGGGCUGUGUUGGUGGGCCUUGAGUGGGCCUGACUGUUAUAAAAAUGCAGUCAGCAGCAAACCAGCUGAGCGGCGAACAGUGAAGGCUAACAGAGGGAGUUUGCCUGGGGAGAGCCCAUUGAGGCUUUCAUCUUGCGGGCUUCUGUGCGUUGUUGCAACAGCCGAGGAAGCUCCUAAAAGGAAGAAAUUAUGGAAGGUGAGCAUUCAGCUGUUGUAACCUGCACAGGAUAUGCCAUGUUUGUCUUUCUUCCACAGGACAGAAGCGACUUUGUCUGUACAAAGUGCAAGCUGGUCUCCGUAUUGGAAGAGAAGGUUCAAGGUCUGGAGAAACAAGUAUCGACCCUGCGUUGCAUACGAGAAAAUGAAGAUUUCCUGGACAGACGUCAGGAUAUGCUUCUACGGGCACAACGUUCUGAAGAAUCGGAGCAGGCUGCACAGAGGGGACAGAGGGACGGUGAAGACAUUUGGCAGCAUGUGACCUCCAGAAGAAGAAAGAGGAGUGUCCAUGUACCAGCAAUGGAGAUACAGGGAAAAGGCCAGGGUAGAGACCGUGGAAUUGUGGAAGUCAACAAAUGGCUAUGCAGGUGGUGUCGGAGAGAAGGCUUUGGAUUCUUCGACCAUGGGAUGGUGUUCCAAGAAGGAGGAGUGCUAGGCAGAGAGAGGCUCCACCUAACGAAGAGAGGGAAGAGCAUCUUCGCAAGCAAGCUGGCUAACCUAGUGAGGAGGGCUUUAAACUAGGUUCACCGGGAGAAGGAGAACAAAGCCCUAGUGAGAAGCUAACCUGGAAGCUAAGGACACCAGCCCAUUCAAAGAACUGCUGCAUGUUUAGCUCAGGACAGAGUAUUAAUGCCAAUUCAGUGGUGCCUGUUUUAAAUGCAUAGGAUCUGUGGCCUGGGUACCUUUCGGGAGCGAAGUAUUUGCUGUAAUGAUAUGACUGUGAUGAGAUUUGUAUGGGGUCUCAGUUAACUCUCAGACUGUCCUCUUAUAGAUUUAUUUUUUUUUAGUCUGAGCAGCUUUACUACAUUGUGGUGUCUUUAUUCCAAACUGGAACAACUCCAGGUAUGGGCAUCCACAACUAUCCAAAUGUGCGUAUUUAUCUGAUGUGUUGUUAUCCACACGUGGGAGUCCCACUGUCAAAACAGACUGAACUCGCUCACUAUGCCUGCAGUAAAGUGGAAUUAUAGUGGGUACUCGUGUAAUCAAAAUUUAGUGGGUUACACUUAGUCUGAACAUAUUUUGGUACCAUAUUUCCAGCACACAUACAUAAUUGUUUACACACUGACCAUACAUACAUCACACAUCUGUUCUAAUAGAUUGGUGAGGCACGAUUUCCCUUUACAAAAGCCGCGUUGACUCUUCCUCAGCAACUCAUAUUUAUCUGUGUGUCUGAUACUUCUGCUCUUUCCUAUAGUUUCUACCAAUUUGCCUGGUACUGAAGUUAGGCUUCCCAAUCUGUAACUCCCAGGGUCGCCUCCAUGAGCCCUGUUUAAAAAUUGGCAUUAUAUUAGCCUGUAAAGAUAAGGCCUUUGUCUGCAGCCAUAUUGUAAGGCCUAAAGCCUUUGUCUGCAGCCAGAUUAAGGGUAUGUCUGCACUACGGGAUUACUCCGAUUUUACAGAAUUCGAUUUUUGGCAACUGACUGUAUAAAGUCGAGUGCAUGCAGCCACACUAAGCACAUUAAUUCGGCGGUGUGCCUCCAUGUACCGAGGCUAGCGUCGACUUCCGGAGUGUUGCACUGUGGGUAGCUAUCCCAUAGCUAUCCCAUAGUUCCCGGUCUCCCCCACCCAUUGGAAUUCUGGGUUGAGAUCCCAAUGCCUGAUGGAGCAAAAAACAUUUUCCCGGGAGGUUCUGGGUACAUCCUUCCCCUCCCUCCGUGAAAGCAAUGGCAGACAACCGUUUCGCACCUUUUUUCCUGGGUGAACUGUGCAGACGCCAUACUACGGCAAGCAUGGAGCCCGCUCAGCUCAAGACAGCAGUCAUGAACAUUGUAAACACCUCACGCAUUAUUGUGCAGUUUAUGCUGAACCAGAACCUGAAAAACCAGGCGAGGAGGAGGCAACGACUGCAGCGCGGCAACGAGAGUGAUGAGGACAUAGACACAGAAUUCUCUCAAACCACGGGCCCCAGUGCUUUGGAGAUCAUGGUGUUAAUGGGGCAGGUUCUAGCCGUGGAACGCCAAUUCUGGGCCCGGGAAACAAGCACAGACUGGUGGGACUGCAUAGUGUUGCGGGACUGGGACGAUUCCCAGUGGCUGCGUAACUUUCGCAUGUGUAAGGGCACUUCCAUGGAACUUUGUGACUUGCUUUCCCCUGCCCUGAAGCGCCAGAAUACCAGGAUGAGAGCAGCCCUCACAGUUGAGAAGCGAGUGACGAUAGCCCUGUGGAAGCUUGCAACGCCAGACAGCUACCGGUCAGUCGGGAAUCAAUUUGGAGUGGGCAAAUCUAUUGUGGGGGCUGCUGUGAUGCAAGUAGCCAAAGCAAUCGCUGAGCUGCUGCUACCAAAGGUAGUGACUCUGGGAAAUGUGCAGGUCAUAGUGGAUGGCUUUGCUGCAAUAGGAUUCCCUAACUGUGGUGGGGCGAUAGAUGGAACCGUGUACAAGGGUUUGCCGGGGCUCGACCCCCUUCGGGGCGGCGGGGAGCCACACUGGCUUACUACACACAGUUGCUGGUCAGGGAAUUAGUCUGGCUGUGGGGUCUUCCUCGGCAGCCCUUGCGGUACUGGAACAAAGACCAUAAACCCAAGCCCUGGGUCAGGGCAGGGCACCAGAAUCAAGGGCUCAGGCCCUCAGGCAGGGCUGAGCAACAAUAGUACAGUUAGUGGCAAGCCCAGGCCCUAGGUCAGGGCGGGGCAACAAUAGUAGGCCCAAGCCUCCAAAGGCCUGGGAGAGGGGGAGACUGCCACCCACGAGUUGGGUGGCAGGGGGGAUGCAGACCCUCCCACUCCACUGCGUCCCAGCCCCAGACCCGCUGCUUAGUCAGUGGGGAUCCUGGCCGCAACACACUGACAUGGGCUCUGGCAGUGCUGCAGCCAGACUAGCGUCGGCUGCCCCCGGGCUACUUCCAAACUCCCCCUCGGGUCGUACUUGGGUCAGGGUGUUGUCCUCUGGGGGGGUCCAGCACCAUAGGUUCCUCGGCGAGUGGCGGGCCCGGCAACUCCUCUGGGUAGUGGGCGCAGGGCAGGCCCGGCAACUCCUCCGGGUAGCAGGCGCAGGGUACACCCGGCCAGUCCUGGUGGCCGCCUUGAGCCAUGGGGUUUUCCCAGUCGUGGGCUAGGCUGGAGGCGUCUGGCCUCUCCCGCAGCUGGAGCCUUACUGAGCUCUGAGGGCAAGCCUUUAUACUUCCGGGUCGCCACCUGACCCUCUGAGGGGCGGGCUCAAAGCUCCCUAGUUCCGCCCACUCCGGCCUCCAGAGGGGCUCUUCCCUCUCCGGGGCAGCGGGGAGCCACAUCGCCUCACUACAAACCCAUAUCCCUAUCUUGGCACCGGAGCACCAGGGCAGCCAGUACAUAAACCGCAAGGGGUACUUUUCAAUGGUGCUGCAAGCACUGGUGGAUCACAAGGGACGUUUCACCAACAUCAACGUGGGAUGGCCGGGAAGGGUUCAUGAUGCUUCAAUAACACUAGUCUGUUUAAACGGCUGCAACUAGGAUUUACUUCCCAGACCAGAAAAUAACUGUUGGGGAUGUUGACAUGCCUAUAGUUAUCCUUGGGGACCCAGCCUACCCCUUAAUGCCAUGGCUCAUGAAGCCAUACACAGGCAGCCUGGACAGUAGUCAGGAGCUGUUCAACUACAGGCUGAGCAAGUGCAGAAUGGUGGUAGAAUGUGCAUUUGGACAUUUAAAGGGUCACUGGCACACUUUACUGACUCGCUCAGACCUCAGCCAAACCAAUAUUUCCAUUGUUAUUGCUGCUUGCUGUGCGCUCCACAAUCUCUGUGAGAGUAAGGGCGAGAUGCUUAUGGCAGGGUGGGAGGUUGAGGCAAAUCGCCUGGCCGCUGAUUACGCGCAGACAGACACCAGGGCAAUUAGAAGAGCACACCAGGAAGCACUGUGCAUCAGAGAAGCUUUGAAAACCAGUUUCAUGACUGGCCAGGCUACGGUGUGAACGUUCUGUUUGUUUCUCCUUGAUGAAAACCUGCCCCCUUGAUUGACUCAUUCCCUGUAAGCAACCAACCCUCCCCCCUUCGAUCACAGCUUGCUUUCAAAGGAAAUAAAGUCACUAUCGUU